CGAUCACGUGAUUUAUGGACGCUCCCUAAUGUCGUUGUGCAGCAUAUGACGAUUUUGCUAAAAAUCGUUCUGCAAUCAACAAAUUUCUUGAAAUUGCCACACUACUACUCGCAAAUCCCACGUAAUAUACAAGUUAAUAUUAUACAAAGUUGAUGUUGUUUGUUUACCAACAGAUUACACAUACGUUUGCAGUUUUGCAAUAGAAGGACUGGUGUCUUCCUCUCCUCUCCCGUCUUAACAGAGUUUAAAUUUAGCAAAAUCAUUGUGACAAAUUAGUAAUUUGCGUCAAUUCACGUUCUAGUCAGCAACUAAAUACGUUCACUCCCAUUAUCUAAGAGUACUUAAGGAGAGUCUGAACAUAGUCGUUAAUAGAGUUUAAAAAUCAAGACAAAGUUCCACUAA